rnacentral:lncRNA from 1 species
GCUAUGUUCAAAAAUCUGAAACUAGAGCUCAAAAUUUGAAAAAAAUGCCAAAAAAACAGAGGGUCGGCCUAUUCUAGGGCUACUAGUGAAAAAUAAUGAGGGGUGUCACGGGGUAUGACUAUAUAGGUCUUGAAGAGGAGAAACAGGCGCUUCUUUUGUGCCAGGUAUUGAAGGGCGCUAUGUUCAAAAAUCUGAAACUAGAGCUCAAAAUUUGAAAAAUAUGGCAAACAAACAGGGACUAGUGAAUAAUAAUGAGGGUUGUCACGGGGUAUGACUAUAUAGGUCUUGAAGAGGAGAAACA